rnacentral:rRNA from 1 species
UACGAAGGGGCUAGCGUUGCUCGGAAUCACUGGGCGUAAAGGGUGCGUAGGCGGGUCUUAAGUCAGGGGUGAAAUCCUGGAGCUCAACUCCAGAACUGCCUUUGAUACUGAGGAUCUUGAGUUCGGGAGAGGUGAGUGGAACUGCGAGUGUAGAGGUGAAAUUCGUAGAUAUUCGCAAGAACACCAGUGGCGAAGGCGGCUCACUGGCCCGAUACUGACGCUGAGGCACGAAAGCGUGGGGAGCAAACAGG